GAGCACUUUACUCAAAGAGGCCUUGCUAUUUUGAGACCUGUUUGCUGCUGAGAAGAGAGGUAGAAGAAACAAGACUGUAUUCUCCGAAGCAGAUUUGUGGACUGAGAAAGGACUGUGGACUUCUACUGAAACAAGCUAUCACCGACGGUUUGUCCAUCAUGAAGCAGGCACAGAUGCUGUUUGCUAGGAGAUGGACACUGGAAGGCUUUGAAAGGAAAUAUAUUUAAGGAGGGAUUAGAAGGAGGAAAUGAA
rnacentral:lncRNA from 11 species